rnacentral:ncRNA from 1 species
GAAAACUUGAUUACAAUUUCUUAAUUGUCAAGAUAAAAUUAUCUAAAUAGGAUUUUAAAAGUAAACAAUUUAAAAAGAUUUUGGUAGUAUAUCGUGUGUAUAAUAUUUGUUCCAGAAUAAUCGGCUAUACUUAGAGGAUUUGAACUUAUAACAUAUUCUAUUGAAAGAAAACAAUUUAACUUGAGAUUUUUUAGUGUAAUGAAAAAUUUUAAUUUAAUAAAUUUUAAUAGAAAGUUUUGGACAUUGAACCGGAUUAGUACCCGGGUAGCCAAAAUUUAUUAAUACAGGAGUAAAUUUAAUACAAACUGAAGUAAAUUGGCAGGUGCCCUAAAUUAUUUUUGGAGUUUGGGAGGUAAUUGAGAACCCUCAAUAUUAUCUUUAUUUUUAAGAACAUGUAUGCUCAUCUAUUAUAAUUUUUAAGAUUUUAAUAAAAAAUUUUCUCUAAAAAGACAGAUAUAUACUUGUCACAUAAUAAAGAUCUUUCUGACCUACAAUAAAAAGUUUUCUAGCGGAUAAAAAUAGAAAUAUUGUAGGAAGUUGGAAAAAACAGUAAUAUUAUCUGUAUUUAGAUUUAUGAAGAAUACUUAGUGACGGCACAAAUCAUCCAUCAACUCCGUACAGCGGAGUAAGUUGUAGCAAAGUAAAAAUAGGGGAACCUGUUUUUAAAUAUGAUUUUUUUUUACGAAAAGA